rnacentral:rRNA from 1 species
AGAGUUUGAUCCUGGCUCAGGAUGAAUGUUGGCGGCGUGCCUGAGAUAUGCAAGUCGAACGCCCAUGUCGCAAGAUGUGGAGUGGCGGACGGCUGAGUAACACGUAGGAAUCUACCCCAAAAUAAAGAAUAGCUCGUCGAAAGACGGGGUAAUACUUUAUGUUAUAAAUGUCGCAAGAUAUUUAUCAAAGUACAUAACUGUACGUUUUGGGAUGAGCCUGCGGCUUAUCAGGUAGUUGGUAGGGUAAUGGCCUACCAAGCCUUUAACGAGUAGCUGGUCUAAGAGGAUGGUCGGCCAGAGGGGGACUGAGACACGGCCCCCACUUCUACGGAAGGCAGCAAUCAGGAAUAGUCGGCAAUGGACGAAAGUCUGACCGCGCGACGCCGCGUGUAGGAAUAAAUUCUAACGAAUGUAAACUACUGUUGUAAGGGAAGAAGUCCCGACUUAGUCGGGAUUGACGGUACCUUACUAGAAAGGGGCCGCUAACUGCGUGCCAGAAGCGUCGGUAAUACGUGGGCCCCGAACAUUAUCCGGUUUUAUUGGGUGUAAAAAGUCGUGUAGGUGUCUUGAUAAGUCCUGAUUUAAAUACUAUGGCUCAACUGUGGUAAGGGUCAAGAUACUAUCAAGAUAGAGUUUUCUUUAGGGAGAAUGGAACUCAGGGAGGAGUAGUGAAAUGCGUUGAUACCCUGGGGAACACUCGUGGCGAAGGCGAUUCUCUGGAAGAUUACUGACACUGAGACACGAAAGCUAGGGGAGCGAAGCAGAUUAGAGACCUGCGUAGUCCUAGCCCUAAACGUAUGCUUGCUAGCCGCACCUGUCCCGCCGUAAGGCGGAUAGAUGUAGCGAAAGGUAACCCGUUAAGCAAGCCACCUGGGGAGUACGGCCGCAAGGUUGAAACUCAAAGGAAUUGGCGGGGAGGCACACAACCAGUGGAACAUGUGGUUCAAUUCGAAACGAACCGAAGAACCUCACCAAGGUUUGACAUCUAAGCGUCCUAUUUUGUGGAAACACGAAAAAUUCGCAAGAAGGCUUAGACAGGUACUGCAUGGCUGUCGUCAGCUCGUUCCGUGAGGAGUACCCUUAAGUGGGACAACGA